UACCGUUUCUCAUAAAUACAGUUGAAUACUGUAAAUAAACAUUAAUAUGACAAACAAAAUAAUAACAGCAAGCUCCUGUUCAGUCUUACGGGAUAAUACAGUAUUUUUUGGUUUGGUCAGGCAUGUCAGACAUGUGACGAGCUCAUCUGCAACCAUGAGUAAAACUGAUUUAACUACACUGUUUUUCUGCAUUUUAUUAUACGAGAAGGAAGCAGAAUUAAAGACUGUCUAUCCAUUUUCACUCCGAUUGUGACCCUACCAGCACUGAGACGGACGACGAAUUCACUUGUUUUUUACUCCUCGCCUGUAUAUCAAGUUGCUGGUGAUGAAGUCACAUUUGGAGGUUGGAUGAUCAGCAGUGAAAACAUCAUCAUCUGUGAAGGCAAGAUGAAGCUGCGAGGACACUGGAGUUUGUUCAAAGAUGCUUAAUUGGUGUGAACCCUAAGAGGUGAACAAAAGCCAGGCAGGUGAAGGUGUCCGAGAAGACAGGAAAGCUUGUCCAGAAAAACGCAGCAACUGUUAAUCCCCAUGUGACCACCCUCAUCAAAAACUUCAUGGACUUUGAGUGGCUUUCACAUUGUAUUGUGCAAUGUUGUGAUAUUUAUGUGACAUCACAGCAUUAUGUUUUAUUCAGCCCAGUCUCAUUAGUGAGGCAGAAACUGACAUUUAAGAAUGCACUGAAUUUUGUUAUAUUUAAUAAAAACAGUGUUUUAUCAUCAUCCUUUGUUUGAGAAUUUUUUUGCAAGCAAUUUUAAGUGUUUAUUUUAAAAUUACAUUUUAACAAUGCUAGAAAAAUCACAUUCUACAGUAUAAAUAACAGCAGGAACCCUAAAAUAACAGUAUAAUGCAUCCAAACAUCUGACAGUAUUAUACUGUGCAGCUCCCUUUUUUUACAGUACUGUCUCGUAAUAUUUGUACAGUAAAAAACUGUUGUUGUAAAUUACAGUAGGUAAUCUGUAAAAUUACAACUAUAUGCUGGCAAAUCUAGCUGCCAGUAUAUUACUGUAAUUUAACAGUGAAA